rnacentral:rRNA from 1 species
UACAGGGGGUGCAAACGUUGCUCGGAAUUAUUGGGCGUAAAGCGCACGUAGGCGGUUUGUUAUGUCGGAUGUGAAAGCCCUUGGCUCAACCGAGGAAGUGCAUCCGAAACUGGCAAGCUAGAGUAUGUAAGAGGGUCGCGGAAUUCCCGGUGUAGAGGUGAAAUUCGUAGAUAUCGGGAGGAACACCGGUGGCGAAGGCGGCGACCUGGGACAAUACUGACGCUGAGGUGCGAAAGCGUGGGGAGCAAACAG